CCUACGGGAGGCAGCAGUGAGGAAUAUUGGUCAAUGGGCGCGAGCCUGAACCAGCCAAGUCGCGUGAAGGAUGACUGCCCUACGGGUUGUAAACUUCUUUUAUAAAGGAAUAAAGUGAGGCACGUGUGCCUUUAUGUAUGUACUUUAUGAAUAAGGAUAGGCUAACUCCGUGCCAGCAGCCGCGGUAAUACGGAGGAUCCGAGCGUUAUCCGGAUUUAUUGGGUUUAAAGGGAGCGUAGAUGGGUUGUUAAGUCAGUUGUGAAAGUUUGGGGCUCAACCGUAAAAUUUCAAUUGAUACUGGCAGUCUUGAGUACAGUUGAGGUAGGCGGAAUUCGUGGUGUAGCGGUGAAAUGCUUAGAUAUCACGAAGAACUCCGAUUGCGAAGGCAGCUUACUAAACUGCCACUGACAUUGAUGCUCGAAAGUGUGGGUAUCAAACAGGAUUAGAUACCCGAGUAGUC
rnacentral:rRNA from 1 species